rnacentral:rRNA from 1 species
CGGCCUUUUAGGCAGUGGCGCACGGGUGAGUAACACGUUGGUAACCUACCUCUUGCUCGGGAAUAACCUCGCGAAAGCGUGAUUAAUACCCGAUAGUAUUACAGAGUGGAACUCUUUGUAAUUAAAGUUUUUCGGCAAGAGAGGGGCCUGCGUUCCAUCAGCUUGUUGGUGAGGUAAUAGCUCACCAAGGCUAUGACGGAUAGCUGGUUUGAGAGGAUGGCCAGCCACAAUGGGACUGAAACACGGCCCAUACUCCUACGGGAGGCAGCAGUGAGGAAUAUUCCGCAAUGGGCGAAAGCCUGACGGAGCAAUCCCCCAUAAACGAAGAAGCUUUUCGGAGUGUAAAGUUUAGUAAUUAGGGAAGAAAUCUUGACCGUACCUAAUGAAUAGUCACGGCUAACUACGUGCCAGCAGCCGCGGUAAUGCGUAGGUGGCGAGCAUUGCUCGGAUUUAUUGGGCGUAAAGCGCGUGUAGGUGUCUUGACAAGUCUUUUGUUAAAUCUCCCUGCUCAACGGGGAAAAUGUAAGAGAUACUAUCAGGAUUUGAGGAAGGUAGGGGCGAGUGGAACUUGUGGAGUAGGAGUGAAAUCCGUUGAUAUCACAAGGAACACCGAUGGCGAAAGCAACUCGCUGGGCCUUCCCUGACACUAAGACGCGAAAGCGUGGGUAGCGAAUGGGAUUAGAUACCCCAGUAGUCCACGCCGUAAACGAUGCGGACUAGUUAUCGAAGAGCAUCGACCCUCUCGGUAGCGAAGCUAACGCGUUAAGUCCGCCGCCUGGGUAGUACGAUCGCAAGAUUAAA